rnacentral:rRNA from 1 species
CCUACGUGAGGCAGCAGUGGGGAAUAUUGCGCAAUGGGCGAAAGCCUGACGCAGCGACGCCGCGUGGGUGAAGAAGCGCCUCGGCGCGUAAAGCCCUGUCAGCAGGGAAGAAAAUGACGGUACCUGAAGAAGAAGCCCCGGCUAACUACGUGCCAGCAGCCGCGGUAAUACGUAGGGGGCAAGCGUUCUCCGGAUUUACUGGGUGUAAAGGGGGCGCAGACGGCGAUGCAAGCCAGGAGUGAAAGCCCGGGGCCCAACCCCGGGACUGCUCUUGGAACUGCGUGGCUAGAGUGCAGGAGGGGCAGGAGGAAGUCCUGGUGUAGCGGUGAAAUGCGUAGAUAUCAGGAGGAACACCGGUGGCGAAGGCGGCCUGCUGGACUGCAACUGACGUUGAGGCCCGAAAGCGUGGGGAGCAAACAGGAUUAGAUACCCCGGUAGUC